AACGGGACGGGGCGGGACGGCGCUCCUGCUGCCCUGCGCU
rnacentral:miRNA from 7 species